CCUACGGGCGGCAGCAGUAGGGAAUUUUCGGCAAUGGGGGGAACCCUGACCGAGCAACGCCGCGUGAACGAAGAAGUUAUUCGUAAUGUAAAGUUCUUUUAACAGGGAAGAAAGAGAAAUUUGACGGUACCUGAAGAAUAAGCUCCGGGUAACUACGUGCCAGCAGCCGCGGUAAUACGUAGGGAGCGAGCGUUAUCCGGAAUUAUUGGUGGGAAAGGGUGCGUAGAUGGCAUAGUAAGUCUUUUGCAAAAAAGCUGGGCUCAACCCAGUAGGGCAAAAGAUACUGAAAAGCUAGAGUAUGACAGGGGCAAGUGGAACUACUGGUGUAGCGGUAAAAUGCGUAAAUAUAUGUAAGAACACCAGUGGCGAAGGCGGCUUGCUGGAUCGAUACUGACAUUGAGGCACGAAAGCGUGGGGAGCAAACAGGAUUAGAUACCCUGGUAGUC
rnacentral:rRNA from 1 species